CUUUACUGUAGCCUGGUAUUGGGUUCGGGCUUUGACUGCGCAGGAUAGGUGGGAGACUAUGAAGCAAUCCUUGUGGGGGUUGCUGAGUCAACGGUGAGAUACCACUCUGUCAGAGCUAGAAUUCUAACUAAAUGCCGUUAUCCGGCUUUGGAACCGUAUCAGGUGGGCAGUUUGACUGGGGCGGUCGCCUCCUAAAAGGUAACGGAGGCGCGCAAAGGUUCUCUCAGGCUGGUUGGAAAUCAGUCGUAGAGUGCAAAGGCAGAAGGUAGCUUGACUGUGAGACGAACAGGUCAAACAGGGUGGAAACACGGCCUUAGUGAUCCGACGGCGCUGAGUGGAAGGGCCGUCGCUAAACGGAUAAAAGUUA
rnacentral:rRNA from 1 species